rnacentral:tRNA from 1 species
AUUUAUAUAGUUUAAAAGAAAACAUUACACUUUCAUUGUAAAAUAAAAACUGAGUUUUUAUAAAUA